UACAGAGGGUGCGAGCGUUAAUCGGAAUUACUGGGCGUAAAGCGUGCGCAGGCGGUUGGUUAAGUCUGAUGUGAAAGCCCCCGGGCUCAACCUGGGAAUGGCAUUGGAAACUGGCUGGCUAGAGUGUGGCAGAGGGGGGGUGGAAUUCCGCGUGUAGCAGUGAAAUGCGUAGAGAUGCGGAGGAACACCGAUGGCGAAGGCAGCCCCCCUGGGCUAGCACUGACGCUCAGGCACGAAAGCGUGGGGAGCAAACAGG
rnacentral:rRNA from 1 species